GUGAAGCAAGGAACAGAUGAAAAGGGAACCGGGUGAAAGUCCCGGACAGUCCACGCUGCUGUAAGUCUUUACAGGAUUCGGAGUAACCUCUGUUCCACUGGAUAGAUAAUUAUUCGGGAAGGAACUUCGAACAAGACAAAGUCAGAAGACCUGCCUGGUUACAA
rnacentral:ncRNA from 1 species